CCGUUGCGUUCCCUUCAGCUGUAUUUGCUCUCCGUGCGCCGCCGCGGCCAUAGAAGCGCUUCUCCUCACGUGUAAAAAAUGCAAAAUACGGUUCUUUUUUUACUAUCAACAGUCUCAGGGCUCAAUGUACAAAGGGGGGGGGGGGGCUGCGAAGCCGGAAAUGGGGGGCGGGGGAGGAGGAGGGGGGGCGGAUGGGGGGGGGGGGGGGGAACGGAACCGAUGGGACCCCAAUGGGAUCCCGAUGGGACCCCGAUGGGACACAGCGGAGAUGGGUGGAAAAGGGAACGGCUCCCGGAGAGCUGUGGGGCACUCAGCAAACAGGACCUGAGCUGCAGCACGGAGCAAAUAGGACCUGACCCAUUAUUACUGAGCAACCAGGACCCGACCCAUUGGCAGUGAGCAACCAGGACCCAACCCAGCAGCAGUGACCAACCAGGACCCGACCCGACCCAUUAUUACUGACCAACCAGGACCCGACCCAGCAGCAGUGAGCAACCAGGACCCGACCAACCCACAAUGACCAACCAGGACCCGACCCAUUAUUACUGACCAACCAGGACCCGACCCAUUGCACUGAGCAACCAGGACCCGACCUGCAGCAGUGAGCAACCAGGACCUGACCCAUUGGCAGUGACCAACCAGGACCCGACCCAUUAUUACUGAGCAACCAGGACCCGACCCAGCAACACUGACCAACCAGGACCCAACCCAGCAAUACUGAGCAACCAGGACCCGACCCAUUAUUACUGACCAACCAGGACCCGACCCAUUGACAGUGACCAACCAGGACCCGACCCAGCAGCAGUGACCAACCAGGACCCGACCCAUCAUUAGUGACCAACCAGGACCCGACCUGCAGCACUGACCAACCAGGACCUGACCCAUUGGCAUUGACCAACCAGGACCCGACCCAUUAUUACUGACCAACCAGGACCCGACCCAUUGGCAGUGACCAACCAGGACCCGACCCAUUAAUAGUGACCAACCAGGACCUGACCCACCAGCAUUGACCAACCAGGACCCAUUGAUGCCGACCCCAUUGAUCCCCAGCUCACCAGCUCCCACCCCAUUGAUGUCCACCCCAUUGACGCCCACCCCAUUGAUGCCCACCCCAUUGACCCCCAGCUCACCAGCUCCCACCUCAUUGAUGCCCACCCCAUUGAUGCCCACCCCACUGAUCCCCAAUUCACCAGCUCCCAUACCAUUGAUGCCCACCCCAUUGAUGCCCACUCCAUUGAUGCCCAUCCUAUUGACGCCCACCCCAUUGAUGCCCACCCCAUUGAUCCCCAGCUCACCAGCUCCCACCCCAUUGAUGCCCACCCCAUUGACGCCCACCCCAUUGAUGCCCAUCCUAUUGACGCCCACCCCAUUGACACCCACCCCAUUGAUCCCCAGCUCACCAGCUCCCACCCCAUUGAUGCCCAUCCUAUUGACGCCCACCCCAUUGACCCCCAGCUCACCAGCUCCCACCCCAUUGAUGAUGCCCACCCCAUUG
ensembl:lncRNA